UGUUGCUUAGGGAAUCAGGUCAGCCAGCUUUCUCAGAAAUCUUAUUUUGAGCUGGUACCAGGAGACUUCUCCAACAGAGUGAUCAGGGUCCUCUCACCCUUUUAUUUAUUUAUUUAUUUUUAAGACGGAGUCUCACUCUGUCGCCCAGGCUAGAGUGCAGUGGCAUGAUCUCGGCUCACUGCAACCUCCGUCUCCCAGGUUCAAGCAAUUCUCCCGCCUCAGCCUCCUGAGUAGCUGGGAUUACAGGCACAUGCUGCCACACCUGGCUAAUUUUUUUUUUUGUAUUUUUUAGUAGAGACGGGGUUUCACCAUGUUAGUCAGGCUGGUCUCAAACUCCUGGCCUUGUGAUCCGCCUGCCUCGGCCUCCCAUAGUGCUGGGAUUACAGAUGUGAGCCACCGCACCCGGCCCCUCUCACCCUUUUCCUCAAUCCAAAGAUGGAACUGCCAGUGAUUUGAGGAAGUAAUAGAAACUACUAAUAGAAAGUACAUAUAACUCUGAUUUUUAGAGGCUCGUGUAACCUAACUGGAAGUAGUACAAAUGUCCUGGUGAGAAGUACCUCAGCCUGGUUAUCUCUGGGUAGUCCUUAUUCCAGGAAUAUGUUUUAAUCCAGCCUUUGCCUUUAAAGAAUCUUCCCAAUUGCGACUUUUCCCUUCCCACUCUUCUGCUUUACUCUACUGCCCUGCCCUUUGUUCUCCUUCACCUUCUCCCCCAAUGUUUUUUCUUUUCCAUCUCUAUUUCUGUCAUUGUCUUUUCUUCUUGGUGUACCUAUCAGCAUGUGUGCCUGGAUGAUUGAUAGCUUCGGAAAUGAGGAACAGAGGCACAAAUUUUGCCCACCACUCUGUACCAUGGAGAAGUUUGCUUCCUACUGCCUCACUGAACCAGGAAGUGGGAGUGAUGCUGCCUCUCUUCUGACCUCCGCUAAGAAACAGGGAGACCAUUACAUCCUCAGUGGCUCCAAGGCCUUCAUCAGUGGUGCUGGUGAGUCAGACAUCUAUGUGGUCAUGUGCCGAACAGGAGGACCAGGCCCCAAGGGCAUCUCAUGCAUAGUUGUUGAGAAGGGGACCCCUGGCCUCAGCUUUGGCAAGAAGGAGAAAAAGGUGGGGUGGAACUCCCAGCCAACACGAGCUGUGAUCUUCGAAGACUGUGCCGUCCCUGUGGCCAACAGAAUUGGGAGCGAGGGGCAGGGCUUCCUCAUUGCCGUGAAAGGACUGAACGGAGGGAGGAUCAAUAUUGCUUCCUGCUCCCUGGGGGCUGCCCACGCCUCUGUCAUCCUCACCCGAGACCACCUCAAUGUCCGGAAGCAGUUUGGAGAGCCUCUGGCCAGUAACCAGUACUUGCAAUUCAAACUGGCUGAUAUGGCAACAAGGCUGGUGGCCGCGCGGCUGAUGAUCCGCAAUGCAGCAGUGGCUCUGCAGGAAGAGAGGAAAGAUGCAGUGGCCUUGUGCUCCAUGGCCAAGCUCUUUGCUACAGAUGAAUGCU
rnacentral:sRNA from 1 species